AUUGAACGCUGGCGGCAUGCUUUACACAUGCAAGUCGAACGGCAGCGCGGGCUUCGGCCUGGCGGCGAGUGGCGAACGGGUGAGUAAUACAUCGGAACGUGCCCAGUAGUGGGGGAUAGCUCGGCGAAAGCCGGAUUAAUACCGCAUACGACCUGAGGGUGAAAGCGGGGGAUCUUCGGACCUUGCGCUAUUGGAGCGGCCGAUGGCGGAUUAGCUAGUUGGUGGGGUAAAGGCCUACCAAGGCGACGAUCUGUAGCUGGUCUGAGAGGACGACCAGCCACACUGGAACUGAGACACGGCCCAGACUCCUACGGGAGGCAGCAGUGGGGAAUUUUGGACAAUGGGCGAAAGCCUGAUCCAGCAAUGCCGCGUGUGUGAUGAAGGCCUUCGGGUUGUAAAGCACUUUUGGCGGGAACGAAAAGGACUGUGCCAAUACCACGGUUUGAUGACGGUACCCGAAGAAUAAGCACCGGCUAACUACGUG
rnacentral:rRNA from 1 species